GCCCUGGUGGUACAAUGGUUAAGCACUUGGCUGUUAACCAAAAGGUGGGUGGUUUGAACCCUCCAAUGGCU
rnacentral:tRNA from 1 species